GAUGAACGCUGGCGGCGUGCUUAACACAUGCAAGUCGAACGGUUAAACCACCUCCGGGUGGAUAUACAGUGGCGAACGGGUGAGUAACACGUGACCAACCUUCCCCCCGCACCGGGAUAACCCAGGGAAACCUGCGYUAAUACCGGAUACUCCGGGGGCCCCGCAUGGGGCCUCCGGGAAAGCCCAGGCGGCGGGGGAUGGGGUCGCGGCCCAUUAGGUAGACGGCGGGGUAACGGCCCACCGUGCCCGCGAUGGGUAGCCGGGUUGAGAGACCGAACGGCCACAUUGGAACUGAGACACGGUCCAGACUCCUACGGGAGGCAGCAGUGGGGAAUUUUGCGCAAUGGGGGAAACCCUGACGCAGCAACGCCGCGUGCGGGAUGAAGGCCUUCGGGUUGUAAACCGCUUUCAGC
rnacentral:rRNA from 1 species